AUUGAACGCUGGCGGCAGGCCUAACACAUGCAUGUCGAGCGGAUGAGAGGAGCUUGCUUCUUGAUUCCGUGUCGGAAGGGUGAGUAAUGCCUAGGAAGCUGCCUGGUAGUGGGGGACAACGUUUCGGAAGUAACGCUAAUACCGCCUGCGUCCCACGGGAGGAAUCAGGGGACCUUCGGGCAUUGCGCAAUCCGAUGAGCCACGGUCGGAUUAGCUAGUUGGUGAGUUAAUGGCUAACGAAGGCGACGAUUCGUAACUGUGCUGAGAGGAGGUUCAGGCACACUGGAACUUAGACACGGUCCGGACUCCUACGGGAGGCAGCAGUGGGGAAUAUUGGACAAUGGGCGAAAGCCUGAUCCAGCCAUGCCGCGUGUGUGAAGAAGGUCUUCGGAUUGUAAAGCACUUUAAGUUGGGAGGAAGGGUUGUACGUUAAUACCGUGCAAUUUUGACGUUACCGACAGAAUAAGCACCGGCUAACUCUGUGCCAGCCGCCGCCGUAA
rnacentral:rRNA from 1 species